CAUGCAAGUCGAACGGAAAGGCCCUUCGGGGUACUCGAGUGGCGAACGGGUGAGUAACACGUGGGUGAUCUGCCCUGCACUUUGGGAUAAGCCUGGGAAACUGGGUCUAAUACCGAAUAUGACCACGCUCUUCAUGGGGUGUGGUGGAAAGCUUUUGCGGUGUGGGAUGGGCCCGCGGCCUAUCAGCUUGUUGGUGGGGUAAUGGCCUACCAAGGCGACGACGGGUAGCCGGCCUGAGAGGGUGACCGGCCACACUGGGACUGAGAUACGGCCCAGACUCCUACGGGAGGCAGCAGUGGGGAAUAUUGCACAAUGGGCGCAAGCCUGAUGCAGCGACGCCGCGUGAGGGAUGACGGCCUUCGGGUUGUAAACCUCUUUCACCAGGGACGAAGCGCAAGUGACGGUACCUGGAGAAGAAGCACCGGCCAACUACGUGCCAGCAGCCGCGGUAAUACGUAGGGUCCGAGCGUUGUCCGGAAUUACUGGGCGUAAAGAGCUCGUAGGUGGUUUGUCGCGUCGUUCGUGAAAACUCACA
rnacentral:rRNA from 1 species